rnacentral:rRNA from 1 species
UACGUAGGGUCCAAGCGUUGUCCGGAAUUAUUGGGCGUAAAGAGCUCGUAGGCGGUCCGUUAAGUCGGAAGUGAAAUCUCAAGGCUCAACCUUGAAAUCGCUCUCGAUACUGGCGGACUUGAGGCAGGUAGGGGAAGGUGGAAUUCCUGGUGUAGCGGUGAAAUGCGCAGAUAUCAGGAGGAACACCGGUGGCGAAGGCAGCUCGCUGGGACGUUACUGACGCUGAGACGCGAAAGCGUGGGGAGCAAACAGG